rnacentral:rRNA from 1 species
AUUGAACGCUGGCGGCAGGCUUAACACAUGCAAGUCGAGCGAGCGGCGGACGGGUGAGUAAUGUCUGGGAAACUGCCUGAUGGAGGGGGAUAACUACUGGAAACGGUAGCUAAUACCGCAUACCAUCAGAUGUGCCCAGAUGGGAUUAGCUAGUAGGUGGGGUAAUGGCUCACCUAGGCGACGAGCCCUAGCUGGGCUGAGAGGAUGACCAGCCACACGGGAACUGAGACCCGGUCAAGAUGCCUACGGGAGGCAGCAGUGGGGAAUAUUGCACAAUGGGGGCAAGCCUGACGCAGCCAGGCCGCUUGUGUGACGAAGGCCUUCGGGUUGUAAAGCACUUUCAGCGAGGAGGCGUUACUCGCAGAAGAAGCACCGGCUAACUCCGUGCCAGCAGCCGCGGUAAUAC